rnacentral:misc_RNA from 1 species
AACGCACAUGGCGCCCCCUGGCAUCCCGGGGGGCAUGCCUGUCCGAGCGUCGUUUCAACCCUCGAGCCCCCGUGGCCCGGCGUUGGGGCCCUACGCGCCUUCUGGCAGUAGGCCCCGAAAAGCAGUGGCGGUCCCGUGUGGUCCUCUCCUUUGCGUAGUAGCAUUAGCCUCGCUUUGGGAGCCCGCGGCGUGCCGGCCUCGAAACCAUCAAGUCCGCUCCGGCGGCACCCAGGUUGACCUCGGAUCAGGUAGGAAUACCCGCUGAACUUAA